rnacentral:rRNA from 1 species
CUGCUCAAUGAUAAAUUAAAUAGCUGCAGUAUUAAUGACUGUACAAAGGUAGCAUAAUAAUUAGUUUUUUAAUUAAAAACUAGAAUGAAAGAUUUAAUGAAAUAUAAACUGUCUCAAAUUUAAUAAAUAAAUUUUUUUUUUAAAUAAAAAAAUUUAAAUUUUAUUUAAAGACGAGAAGACCCUAUAGAAUUUUUAUUAUUUUUAUAUUAUAAAUAUAAAUAUAAUUUUAAUUGGGGAAAUUUUAAAAUUUAAAAAAUUUUUAAUUAAAUAAACAAUUAUGUUUGAAUAAAAAUAUAUUUUUUAAUAAAUAAAUUUAAAUUACCUUAGGGAUAACAGCAUAAUUUUUUUUUGAAGUUCAAAUUUAUAAAAAAGUUUAUGACCUCGAUGUUGAAUUAAGAUAAAAUUUUUUGUAAAAAAAAUAUUCUUUAAGUCUGUUCGACU